AGAUGCUCCUGAGAGUGACAGAGAGCAUGGAAGGACAUGGUUUUGGAGUAUAAAAAGAUGGUCUAAACCGCAUUCAAGCUUCAUUCUGUAGAAGGAAACAAAUGAGGAGAAAUUAGGCAGCACUAUCAGCAUCUCCAAGGAGGAUGCAGCAACAAGGCACCAUCUUAGGAGCAGAGACCAGACCCUCACCAGACACCGAACCUGCCAACACCUUGAUCUUGGACUUCACAGACUCCAGAACUGUGAGAAGUAAUUUUCUAUUAUGUAUAAAUUAUACAGUUUGUGAUACUUUCUUACAGCAGCAUGAAUGAACUGAGACACACAAUAACAGUGCAUCUACUUUAGGGUCUUAGCAAUUGCUGGUCUCUGCCUGAGAUGCUCUCCAUCAGAUAUCCACCUGGCUUGCUCCCGCACUUCCUUCAGAGCUCCAAUUACAAAUCACUCAUUCAAGGGCCUUCCAUACUCACCAAUCACUCUCUAUCCCUCGCCCUCCUUUGUUAUUUUUUUCUCUGUACUUAUCUCAUGGAACAUGCAAUCUAAUAAAGGAAGACAUUUAAUAAAAUGAAUAAGUGGAAGUCGGUGUGGAGAUUCCUC
rnacentral:lncRNA from 1 species